UACGGAGGGAGCUAGCGUUGUUCGGAAUUACUGGGCGUAAAGCGCACGUAGGCGGCUUUGUAAGUUAGAGGUGAAAGCCCGGGGCUCAACUCCGGAACUGCCUUUAAGACUGCAUCGCUUGAAUCCAGGAGAGGUGAGUGGAAUUCCGAGUGUAGAGGUGAAAUUCGUAGAUAUUCGGAAGAACACCAGUGGCGAAGGCGGCUCACUGGGACGGUAUUGACGCUAAGGCGCGAAAGCGUGGGGAGCAAACAGG
rnacentral:rRNA from 1 species